GAAAACAUGCAAAAUAGAGAUUUUCCAAAUCCUGCAACUGGACCUAACAUGAGUGCACCAGCUCCAGGUGGUAUGCCUCCCAACAACUUUAAUCCCAGCAUGCCUCCUCACAACCGCCAAGGCGAUUAUCCAGGAGGACCACCACCUCCGAACAAUUUUAACAGACCACCACCGCCACCACCGCACAACUACAGCGGACCACCACCACCACCACCACACAACUUCAGCGGACCACCACCACCACCACCACACAACUUCAGCGGACCACCACCACCACCACCGCACAACUUCAACGGACCACCACCACCACCACCGCACAACUUCAACGGACCACCACCACCACCGUACAACUUCAACGGGCCACCACCUCCUCCACCAAACAACUUCAACGGACCACCACCUCCUCCACCGAACAACUUCAACGGACCACCACCACGCAACUAUGCUUCAGCAUCACCAAAUCACGGAGGAGGAGGAGGAGGAGCACCCCACAACUAUGGGGGGCCACAGGAAAACAACUAUUGGGGAGCACAGCAGCCAAACAACUAUGGUGGACCUUCAAACUCUGGCCGGGGACCUGCAUAGAACAACUACUAUGAAGGGGUAAAAAAAGGCUAAUGGUGGUGGAUGGUCUAAUAUGUGCAUAAAAAUCAAGAAGAAUAGUCUAGGCGGUCAGGGUAGUCUAACGGUGGUGGCUGGUCACUGCAUUUUCGUUUUGGUGCUACAAACGAUGAGUUUAAUUUUGCUUUAUGAGUCGGCAUUUGUUUAAAAUCUGUUUAAGUCUUGUGUACAAUUUAAU
rnacentral:lncRNA from 1 species